rnacentral:rRNA from 1 species
UACGGAGGAUCCGAGCGUUAUCCGGAUUUAUUGGGUUUAAAGGGAGCGUAGGUGGAUUGUUAAGUCAGCGGUGAAAGUCUGUGGCUCAACCAUAGAAUUGCCGUUGAAACUGGGGGGCUUGAGUAUGUUUGAGGCAGGCGGAAUGCGUGGUGUAGCGGUGAAAUGCAUAGAUAUCGCGCAGAACCCCGAUUGCGAAGGCAGCCUGCCGGCCCCACACUGACGCUGAGGCACGAAAGCGUGGGUAUCGAACAGG